GCUAAACUAUUGAUUAUCACACGGUGGCGUGGGUAAUAAAUUAGCAUUAAUUCAGAGUUUCUACAUCCAAUGUAAUUCAAAUCACCUGCUCCUUGCCAAAUACCUGCCAAGACCAAGAACUCAAACAAAGCCCUUAUGAAUAGAUAUCAGUUAGUCACUGGGAAUCUGGUAAAUUAUUAAGGUGCAUGCUAUCUAAAAUGUUAAAUCAAACCAGCUUUGAAUCCUCUUGGGAGUUCAAAAAGUCUGUUGACUUUUCCUUUUUUUCAUUUCUUCCUUUUUUGUUUGAAGUGUGAGUCUCUUGUUCAGUCAAGACUACCUUGUUUUCCCUUUGUCAGUUCCUACAGGGUUGAUUCAGCAGAGACAGGAAGAUGCUAUAACCAGAACCAGGACUAGAAGAUUCUGUUUUCCAGCAGCUGCUUUACUGUGACAUCUUACCUCCAGCAAAGUGGGAAGUUGAGCAGCUGCUUGCAGAACCAAAGCCAAUCUUCUGCCUGGGAUCAGUUGGCAAGGAUUUCUGUGAAAGAAGCAAGGAUGCAGUCAAUUAUAUGUACUGAAUUAAUUGUACCUGCUUCCAGCCUGUCUCCAAUACUUGCUGGAAAAUGUAUCCAUCCAUUUGUGCAACAGCAGCAACAACAAAAAUUACUCCCUAAUCAUCUUUGAAGGUUAAAGAGAUUUAACAAAUCAGAUCUGUUUAUUCAUGGGAACCAUAGCAGCGCUGAUGAGUUUUUUAAAAAUUCAAAUUGCAUUUAUUUCUUUUCAAAUUACUCUCAAUCAUGUUUUUCAGUAAGGCUGUGUGUAUGAAUGCAAUUCCUUAGUGUGAGGGAAGGGCUUUAUUUAUUUACUGUUAUAAUGGUGUUUUGGAGAUUGAGUCAUCUGAUGAUUCACUCUGUUCAGCUGCAUAAGUAAUAUUGCAAGUACUGAGAGAGAACUAAGCUGACAUCCUGUAAUAUUUGUUGUUUUGGACUUCCAGGUACAAUCAGGUUGCUGAAAAUACUUUAUUUUCUACAGCACAAGAUGGUUAGUGUUGCUUC
rnacentral:lncRNA from 1 species